CUUGCUUCUCUUGAGAGCGGCGGACGGGUGAGUAAUGCCUAGGAAUCUGCCUGGUAGUGGGGGAUAACGUUCGGAAACGGACGCUAAUACCGCAUACGUCCUACGGGAGAAAGCAGGGGACCUUCGGGCCUUGCGCUAUCAGAUGAGCCUAGGUCGGAUUAGCUAGUUGGUGGGGUAAUGGCUCACCAAGGCGACGAUCCGUAACUGGUCUGAGAGGAUGAUCAGUCACACUGGAACUGAGACACGGUCCAGACUCCUACGGGAGGCAGCAGUGGGGAAUAUUGGACAAUGGGCGAAAGCCUGAUCCAGCCAUGCCGCGUGUGUGAAGAAGGUCUUCGGAUUGUAAAGCACUUUAAGUUGGGAGGAAGGGUUGUAGAUUAAUACUCUGCAAUUUUGACGUUACCGACAGAAUAAGCACCGGCUAACUCUGUGCCAGCAGCCGCGGUAAUACAGAGGGUGCAAGCGUUAAUCGGAAUUACUGGGCGUAAAGCGCGCGUAGGUGGUUUGUUAAGUUGGAUGUGAAAUCCCCGGGCUCAACCUGGGAACUGCAUUCAAAACUGACUGACUAGAGUAUGGUAGAGGGUGGUGGAAUUUCCUGUGUAGCGGUGAAAUGCGUAGAUAUAGGAAGGAACACCAGUGGCGAAGGCGACCACCUGGACUAAUACUGACACUGAGGUGCGAAAGCGUGGGGAGCAAACAAGAUUAGAUACCCUGGUAGUCCACGCCGUAAACGAUGUCAACUAGCCGUUGGAAGCCUUGAGCUUUUAGUGGCGCAGCUACGCAUU
rnacentral:rRNA from 1 species